rnacentral:rRNA from 1 species
CGGACGGGUGAGUAAUGUCUGGGAAACUGCCCGGUGGAGGGGGAUAACUACUGGAAACGGUAGCUAAUACCGCAUAACGUCUUCGGACCAAAGUGGGGGACCUUAGGRCCUCACGCCACCGGAUGUGCCCAGAUGGGAUUAGCUAGUAUUAGGUUUAACGGCUCACCUAGGCGACGAUUCCCUGGGGUGACGGGGGGGGGUCCAGCCACGCUGGAACGAUUCCCGCGUCUAGACUGCCCACUAAUGACUACAGUCGGCAACUUUGCAGUCGGUUGCAGACUGCGAUCUGAGACUACCAUGGGUAUCUAAUCCUGGAAGCUCCCCGGGAGGUAAAGUCCUUUCGUGCGGGGAGGAAGGCGGUGAGGUUAAUAACCUCGCCGCCUAAGGGCACCCGCAGAAGAAGCACCGGCUAACUCCGUGCCAGCAGCCGCGGUAAUAGGAAUGCAGCAUCCUUUAGUCUCAUUUACUGAGCGUAAAGAGCAGGGAGGAGGUCAGUGCAGGGAGAUGCGAACUCCCCGGGCUUACUCACUUAGACGACGAACUGCAUUUGAAACUGGCAGGCUUGAGUCUCGUAGAGGGGGGUAGAAUUCCAGGUGUAGCGGUGAAAUGCGUAGAGAUCUGGAGGAAUACCGGUGGCGAAGGCGGCCCCCUGGACGAAGACAUGACGCUCAGGUGCGAAAGCGUGGGGAGCAAAUCAGGAUUAGAUACCCUGGUAGUCCACGCCGUAAACGAUGUCGACUUUGGAGGUUGUUCCCUUGAGGAGUGGCUUCCGGAGCUAACGCGUUAGAAGUCGACCGCCACCUGGGGAGUACGGCCGCAAGGUUAAAACUCAAAUGAAUUGACGGGGGCCCAUCCAAGCGGUGGAGCAUGUGGUUUAAUUCGAUGCAACGCGAAGAACCUUACCUGGCCUUGACAUCCAGCGAACUUAGCAGAGAUGCUUUGGUGCCUUCGGGAACGSUGAGACAGGUGACUACCUAAUCCAUCGUCAGCUCGUGUUGUGAAAUGUUGGGUUAAGUCCCGCAACGAGCGCAACCCUUAUCCUUUGUUGCCAGCUUAAACGGGAACUCAAAGGAGACUGCCGGUGAUAAACCGGAGGAAGGUGGGGAUGACGUCAAGUCAUCAUGGCCCUUACGGGGAAGAAAGUGGGGUUCUAUACUGGCGCAUACAAAGAGAAGCGACCUCGCGAGAGCAAGCGGACCUCAUAAAGUGCGUCGUAGUCCGGAUCGGAGUCUGCAACGUAUGCCUUCUUUCGACUCCGUGAAGUCGGUGCAUGCUAAUCGCUAGUAAUCCUCCGGCAGAAUGCCACGGUGAAUACGUUCCCGGGCCUUGCCGACACCGCCCGUCACACCAUGGGAGUGGGUUGCAAAAGAAGUAGGUAACCAAUCCCUUGUGUGAGGCUAGUAACUUUGUGAUUCAUGACUGGGGUGAAGUCGUAACAAGGUAACCGUAGGGGAACCUGC